rnacentral:lncRNA from 1 species
GUUGUGUGUCUAGUUCUUUGACCUGAGGUGCAUCGAUGGUUCACCUUGAGUGUGUUAUAGUUUGACUACACCAUAACUCGAUCUCCUAGCCAUUCAAAAUUUUGAGGUGUAUGUUGGCUGUAGCAUGUUCAUUGUAGAAACCAGAUCGCAUCAAGAUGGGAUCUAUCAACCUCGGUAGAUGAGAGGAGUAGUCCUAUGAUGAUCG